rnacentral:rRNA from 1 species
GACGAACGCUGGCGGCGUGCUUAACACAUGCAAGUCGAGCGGAGCGGCGAACGGGUGAGUAACGCGUGAGUAACUGCCCCCCUCUCUGGGAUAACAGUUGGAAACGGCUGCUAAUACCGGAUAGUGGGGGAUGACUCGCGUCCUAUCAGCUUGUGGGUGGGGUAGUGGCCUACCAAGGCGACGACGGGUAGCCGGCCUGAGAGGGCGACCGGCCACAUUGGGCUGAUGUACGGCACAAACUCCUACGGGGGGCAGCGGGGGGGAAUGUGGCACAGGGGGGGAACCCCUGAUGCAGAACCGCCGCGUGGGGGAUGACGGCCUUCGGGUUGUAACCCGCUUUCAGCCAGGAAGCGGUAGGGGAAGAAGAAGCACCGGCUAACUCCGGGCCAGCAGCCGCGGUAAUAC